UUUGGUGGCUCAACGGCGGGGUCACACCCGUUCUCAUUCCGAACACGGAAGUUAAGCUCGCUAGUGGCGAUGGUACUCCACACUUCGUGGGGGAGAGUAGCUAGCCGCCAGAA
rnacentral:rRNA from 1 species